UACGGAGGGUGCAAGCGUUAAUCGGAAUUACUGGGCGUAAAGCGAGCGUAGGCGGUUUGAUAAGUUGGUUGUGAAAGCCCCGGGCUUAACCUGGGAGGGUCAAUCAAAACUAUCAGACUAGAAUACAGUAGAGGGGUGUGGAAUUUCCGGUGUAGCGGUGAAAUGCGUAGAGAUCGGAAGGAACACCAGUGGCGAAGGCGGCACCCUGGACUGAUAUUGACGCUGAGGUUCGAAAGCGUGGGGAGCAAACAGG
rnacentral:rRNA from 1 species